rnacentral:lncRNA from 1 species
AUGCCUCCUGACUUUGCCCUAGACUUAAGUCCGUCUGGUCUUGUCACAGUCUUCCUCAGCUCUGACAUGGCUUGGGGGAGGAUCAGGUCAUUUCUCUGCAGGGUGAGGCUAAGUGUAGACAGCUCCUCGAACAUGUCAGCGAGAAAAUGGCAGAAUACACAAAAAAGUGCAUUCUCCAUUCCUCUCUUUACCUGUGUAGUAGUGAGUAGAUCAACACAAAAUAAGUGUUGUAUUCCUAGCCACCUCCUCACCUGCCAACUAUUCAAGUCUGAAAUGUCAUUUGACUUAAAUCUAUUUUUUUUACUUAAUGUAUUGCGUAAAACUGACCUUCUUUGCCCGUCCUUGAACCUCCACUGUACCUGCAACAGCCAGGUGCUCCAUGUGCUGCAGGACAAUGGAGUACUGGCCAUGGUCUGUGGCGAGGUCCUUAUCUGCUCCAUGUCGCAGGAACACUUUGAGAGCCCUGUGGACAUGGGGGAUCCAGCGUGUCCUUUUGACGGUAGAUGGUGUGCAGACAUCCACGCCAAGCUCUUUCCCUAUUUGAUUGAGCUCUCUCUUGGACUUUCCGCUGAAGUGGAGAGCAAUCACUCCUCCGCGGUGGCCCAUAUUCACUGCGGCACCAUCUGCCCCGAAGCUGAUCAGCUUCUUCAUCCAUGACCCUCCAUCGUCCUCUGGGCAAACUGCAUUGAAUGCAGCCUUGGUUGCAUCCAGAACACCUUGAAGGACAACACAAAAACAAUAAGACUUUUGUAGCCUUAAAACAAACAAGAUAGUGACUCAAUUAUGCAUUUAUGAAACUAUACAAAAAUAAAGGUUACUAUCUAGCUGCUAGACAGUGACCACCUACCAAUGGCAUGGGAGUGUUCGAGGGUCUGUUGUCCAACGAGGAGAGUGACUGGCUUCCCACCCUCCACCAGGCGCACUUAGACAAUCUCACACUCAGUGUUUGAUAUGUCAGUGUCUCCAUCAAUGAGAACUGCAAGGUGCUUUGCUGUUCUCAGCUUAGCAGCUAGGCUCUCUUUCAAGAGAUCGGCAACUUGUCCAAUCAUUUCUGCACACCUGUAUGAAUGAGAACACUGUUGUAAAGCGCUUAUAGUUUAUGGUUUUAUUAGAUCCCCAUAAGCAGUGUUGCAGAACAACCGCUGAUCUCCCUGGGACUGGGGUCAAGAAAUACUAAUAUAACAUAAAUAGCCUGGCAUACUACAUGCCAUAUACACAUGUACUAAGCUACACAUACAGUUAC